AGUUCCAGGAAGGCCGGGUGGCGUGGGGCUGUGUGUUAAGUGGCCGUUUGUAAGAAGAACCCUCUGGCGGAGAGGUGCCGAGACAGGCUGGGCUGUGAUCCUGCACGCCCGGCGGCCUAAGGGGAGGUAAUUGGGAACCGCGAGCUGACACUGCGGAAAAUAAAAUAUCAGUGUGGAAAUAGAUGUGGACGCUGUGCUGCUGCCUGAGAUUAGCAGGAAGCAAUUCUUUUCCCAUUUGGAGAGACCCCGGCUUUGUCGGGCCAGGAGAUGGUUUUGCAGCAGCAGAAGACUAUGAACUGGGCUUUGGGAGAUAGGAUCUCUGGUUGUAUUCUGGCUAUCCACACUCUGAAAGAGGACCAUGACAGAGAAUUUGAGUAUCCUACCAAUAUACCUACAAAAGGAUGAAAGAAGAUUUGGAGUCAAGGGAAAACAAGGGCAAUAAAAUAGAUGCUUACCACCUACUCUCAUACAGUUGCUAGAAGAGGACUGCACAUUUGGUUCUAAGUUUCUGGAAGACAAAGCAAAAAUAGAAACACAACUCAUUAUAAAAUUUUGGUGCAUCCAUAAAAUAAAAACAAAUGACCUGUUU